rnacentral:lncRNA from 1 species
GCCAGUGUAAUAUUGAGAAAAGAAUGCAAUACUUUUUCAUGUGUUCUUACAAAUUUCGUACAUUUGUAUUUCGUAAAUGGUCUCUAAAAAAAUCCUCAGCUUUACAGAAAUAUUUUUUGGUAAAAAUCAUAAAUUUUAUACAUUAAGCCAGCAACAAGAAAAUUCUGUUAACCUUAUCUUCUUCAUAUUAAUAAGGGCAUUUCCCUGUUUUGUAUUGAAGUGCAUUUUUUUUUAAUAUCCUAUAUUUUACCGCCAGUUUUCUUUUUUAAUCUUAUGUGUCUCCUCUGGAAACUAAUCACAAACUUUAACAAUUAAUGUUCAUGAUAUCUACUGAAGAGUUCCAGACAUAAGAAAUAGCAUGUUUAAGUCUCCCUUAAGAAACUUUCAUCAUAGGCAUCACUUUAACUAGUUUAUAAAUAAAAAUACCCAUUUUGGUGCUGAGUAAAAGAAACACCUGUUUGACUGUCUGUUUUUAUAAUUUAUACCUGUAGUGUAACUUGCUUUUAAGUGCCAGUCUGCCUAAGAAUCAGGCAGUGGUGAAAACAUGACCAAAAAAAUCCACCCUAUUUGACAUUGAUUUCAGUUCAUAAUAUGUAGUUAUGCACAAAAAUAACAUUCAUUUCCAUUUUCUGUUCUGGUAAUAGAAGAUACAAUUUGGUUGAAAUGCACUAGAAAUUAACGAAUAAGGGGAGAUAACUCUGUAAUUUGCUAUCAAUCUAACCAAUUUUCCAACCAAGUUAUUUGAUAUUACCAGACACACACAAACGAAAGACUAAUACUUUUUAACUCAGGAUGAUGGUUAGUAUUAAAUAGCAUGAUUAACUCGGUGGGUUUUUCUAAUCAUGUUUUAAUUUUUACCUAAAUUGCCUCAUUCUUACAAAGACUGGCACUUAAAUACA